rnacentral:rRNA from 1 species
CCUACGGGCGGCAGCAGUGAGGAAUAUUGGUCAAUGGACGAGAGUCUGAACCAGCCAAGUCGCGUGAAGGAUGACUGCCCUAUGGGUUGUAAACUUCUUUUAUAUGGGAAUAAAACGUUCCACGUGUGGGAUUUUGUAUGUCCCAUAGGAAUAAGGAUCGGCUAACUCCGUGCCAGCAGCCGCGGUAAUACGGGGGGACCGAGCGUUAUCCGGAUUUAUUGGGUUUAAAGGGGGCGUAGGUGGGUUUUUAAGUCAGUUGUGAAAGUUUGCGGUUGAACCGUAAAAUUGAAGUUGAAACUGGCAGUCUUGAGUGCAGUAGAGGUAGGCGGAAUGCGUGGUGUAGCGGUGAAAUGCUUAGAUAUCACGAAGAACUCCGAUUGCGAAGGCAGUUCACUGGACUGCAACUGACACUGAGGCUCGAAAGUGUGGGUAUCAAACAGGAUGAGAUACCCCAGUAGUC